CACAGCCGGUCACAACAAGCUGCAAGCAAGCGCCCACAUUUGCUUCAUGGCCGAGCGAGUGGUGCAGAGCUUUUAGGACAUACAUAUUGAUUGGGAGAAACGGACUAACACCGACAUGCUUCGUAAGGACAGGAGGCGGAAGCAGCGACAGAAAGAGCUAUGUGAGGCAGCUAAAGGCAGUGGGUCCCUCACCAGCUGGAUAAAAAAAAAGAGUACAGUCUGAGAUCAACACAGCCUUGCCCUCCAGCAUCAUCAGCAGCAGCAAGAGGAGCAACCCUGCAACAGCUAGUGUACCCCAUCAUCAGGUAAAAUAGGACAGCAAUAGAUCAGGAGGUGGAGCAGGUUGUCCAGUAAUCGGAACGUUGCAGGUUUGAUCCUGACUUCAAUCAGAGAUUGAUGCUGUUGUGUCCUUGGGCAAGACAAUUAACCUGCUUUGCCUGCUGGUGGUGGUCGGAGGGACUAGUGGCGCCUGUGCUCAGCAGCUUCACCUCUGUCAGUGCGCUCCAGAGCAGCUAUGGCUACAUCAUAGCUCAUCACCAUCAGUGUGUUAAUGUGUGUGAAUGACUGAUUGUGUUGUAAUGUGCCUUGGGGGGUUGUAGAACCCUAAGAAGGCAUUAUACAAAUACAGACCAUUUACCUAAACAAGUUACUUUUGCUUUACAUUGUCCUUAAGGUGUAUAUAAUGAUUCACUUCCAUUUUGAAUUUCUAA